rnacentral:rRNA from 1 species
CAGGGUACUCGAGUGGCGAACGGGUGAGUAACACGUGGGUGAUCUGCCCUGCACUUCGGGAUAAGCUUGGGAAACUGGGUCUAAUACCGGAUAGGAACCAUCUUUAGUGUGGUGGUUGGAAAGUUUUUUCGGUGUAGGAUGAGCUCGCGGCCUAUCAGCUUGUUGGUGGGGUAAUGGCCUACCAGGGCGGCGACGGGUAGCCGGCCUGAGAGGGUGUACGGCCACAUUGGGACUGAGAUACGGCCCAG